rnacentral:rRNA from 1 species
CAGCAGCCGCGGGAAUACAGAGGGUGCGAGCGUUAAUCGGAUUUACUGGGCGUAAAGCGUGCGUAGGCGGCUUUUUAAGUCGGAUGUGAAAUCCCUGAGCUUAACUUAGGAAUUGCAUUCGAUACUGGGAAGCUAGAGUAUGGGAGAGGAUGGUAGAAUUCCAGGUGUAGCGGUGAAAUGCGUAGAGAUCUGGAGGAAUACCGAUGGCGAAGGCAGCCAUCUGGCCUAAUACUGACGCUGAGGUACGAAAGCAUGGGGAGCAAACAGGAUUAGAUACCCCGGUAGUCCCUGUCUCUUAUAA